rnacentral:rRNA from 1 species
GUUAGAUAGUUGGUGGGGUAAUGGCCUACCAAGUCUACGAUCUAUAGCUGGUUUUAGAGAUGAUCAGCAACACUGGGACUGAGACACGGCCCAGACUCCUACGGGAGGCAGCAGUGGGGAAUCUUGGACAAUGGGCGCAAGCCUGAUCCAGCCAUGCCGCGUGAGUGAUGAAGGCCUAGGGUCGUAAAGCUCUUUCGCCAGGGAUAUAAUGAC